rnacentral:rRNA from 1 species
CGCCUCUUGAACCCCAUAAGAGGUCCAGCCUGCCCAGUGACCCUGUUCAACGGCCGCGGUAUCCUAACCGUGCGAAGGUAGCGUAAUCACUUGUUCUUUAAAUGUGGACUAGUAUGAAUGGCAUCACGAAGGUUAUACUGUCUCCUUUUUCUAAUCAGUGAAACUAAUCUCCCCGUGAAGAAGCGAGGAUAAAAAUAUAAGACGAGAAGACCCUAUGGAGCUUUAAACAAAGUAGCACUCGCCACAUAAAUGAAAAAUUCCAGAAUCACCAUCUUCCUCAGGCAAUCUGACUACACGUUUUUGGUUGGGGUGACCGCGGAGUAUAACACAACCUCCAUGUUGAAAGAAAGCUUUCUAAACUAAGAGCUACACCUCUAAGUAUCAAAAGAUUGACAUCCAUUGACCCAAUAAAUUUGAACAACGAACCAAGUUACCCUAGGGAUAACAGCGCAAUCCACUUCAAGAGCUCCUAUCGACAAGUGGGUUUACGACCUCGAUGUUGGAUCAGGGUCUCCCAGUGGUGCAGCCGCUACUAAAGGUUCGUUUGUUCAACGAUUAAAACCCUA